UUGCCAUGAUGAUAACGAAAGUAAUGAAAAGCUUUGUACAAAUGCUUCAUGAUAAUUCGGCGUAAAAGGCCGACCUGAGCGGUUACCGGAGCAU